UACGUAGGGGGCUAGCGUUGUCCGGAAUCACUGGGCGUAAAGCGUGCGUAGGUGGCGCGUUAAGUGAGAUGUUAAAUCGUGUGGCUCAACCAUAUCGAUGCAUCUCAUACUGGCGUGCUAGAGGGAAGCAGAGGCAAGUGGAAUUUGUAGUGUAGCAGUGAAAUGCGUAGAUAUUACAAGGAACACCAAUGGCGAAGGCAGCUUGCUGGGCUUCUUCUGACACUGAGGUACGAAAGCGUGGGGAGCGAACAGG
rnacentral:rRNA from 1 species